GGCGAUCAGAAAUGAGGCGCUUUCACAAUCUCCCUCGUUCGGUUCGAGGCGGAAGAGUCCCGGGGAAGACAGCAGAUCAUGAUUCCGCGAACGGAGACGACGGGGAAGGGCAGGACAUCGCAUUCAUAUCACACACCAUAGCAUGCCGCGUGGAAUUUCUGAUGGUCCCAGACUGCAAAGAGGGUAAUGCUGGGCGCUACUCAUUGGGCACUUCAAUUGACUUGACUGAUGAGGUUAUGGCUCCUCAUGGAGAAAAUAAAAAAGGGUCUGACUGAUGGGGUUAUACCUCCUCCUGAACAAAAGGGGGAGAGGUUCCAACAGUAUAUGGCAAAUGAAGUUGGCAAAAACUCUGGCAUAAUGUGUCAUAUAAAAAUAAGCAAAUUUCCUGGUGAAGAAAUUAACAGAUUUGUACAUGUCACUAAUUCUGCUGAUUAUCCACAGAAAGUCAUACAAGGCUCUUUCCAUCUGGAGGAUGAGCGAUUUGAUUUUGACAGAAACAGACAGUGUGACAGCAGUAAUGAUGAGCAAGCUGAAGGAUGUGCUGACAUGGACAACAAAUGAAUUGGAUGCUGUUCUCUUGCAUGGUGAUGAGCUGUAUACAUUAAUGUGAUUACAGGGCAAGAUAGGUGACCCAACGCAGCGUGGUUAUGUAGCGAUUGCUGAAUUGCUAACAAUGCACACAUUCUGUAAUAACAA